UGGGGAAUAUUGGACAAUGGGGGCAACCCUGAUCCAGCAAUGCCGCGUGUGUGAAGAAGGUCUUCGGAUUGUAAAGCACUUUCGACGGGGACGAUGAUGACGGUACCCGUAGAAGAAGCCCCGGCUAACUUCGUGCCAGCAGCCGCGGUAAUACGAAGGGGGCUAGCGUUGCUCGGAAUGACUGGGCGUAAAGGGCGUGUAGGCGGUUUACACAGUCAGAUGUGAAAUCCCCGGGCUUAACCUGGGAGCUGCAUUUGAUACGUGUAGACUAGAGUGUGAGAGAGGGUUGUGGAAUUCCCAGUGUAGAGGUGAAAUUCGUAGAUAUUGGGAAGAACACCGGUGGCGAAGACGGCAACCUGGCUCAUGACUGACGCUGAGGCGCGAAAGCGUGGGGAGCAAACAGGAUUAGAUACCCUGGUAGUCCACGCUGUAAACGAUGUGUGCUAGAUGUUGGGUAACUUUGUUAAUUCAGUGUCGCAGUUAACGCGUUAAAGCAC
rnacentral:rRNA from 1 species